GACCUCGGAUCAGGUAGGAAUACCCGCUGAACUUAAGCAUAUCUAAGGCGGGAAGGA
rnacentral:rRNA from 1 species